AUGUGAGAUCUCUAGCAGUUUUACAGCGCCAGGUAGUAUGCCAGUAUGAUCUGAAGCUGAUUAAUCCAGCAGACCAUUUUGUUGUACGUUGUAGCUUAAUUAGCCAGCAAUACACCAAAUCUGUCUACAAAUUGAAGGACAACCUAGGAGGCAUCUCCUUCAGAGUGGUUGGAGUGUGUUUGUCGGUUCCAAAAGGCUUGUUCCUGAGGAUGCCUUCAUUUUCCUCAGAGAGAGUGGUGAGCUUCGUGUUGGUGUUAGGAGGGCUAUGAGACAGUUUUCCAGUGUGCCUUUAUCAGUCAUAUCUAGCCAUACUAUGCACCUUGGAGUACUUCACAAGCGGAGCAGCUGGUGGAUAGUCAACUGCGUGGCAGUGACGGGCUCAGGUCCCACAAGGGCACGCUUGAGGUGGAACACAUGGCCGUGUUGCAUCUGGUUCUCAAUCUUCCAGCGAACAACGAGGGCGGUUCAUUGACCAGUUUAUUAACAACCUGGUUUGCCGGAGAAGUUGCCCAUCUUAUUCAAGUUGCACCUUUGCUCCAGAGGUAUUUUACUGAUAAAAUAGGUUCGUGACCUUGCUCAUUCUUAGACUAUUUUUUCUUCUUUAUGUCCGCAAUACUUGGAGCAACUAAUUGACUUGAAAAUAAUGGCUCUGGGAGCAAUUUCAAUUACUUUCAGAACGAUAUGCUACCUCAUCAUAUUAUUGGAAAUAUGCUGAAUAUGGUCAUUGGUGCAACUUUAGGAAUUGCAUUCUUACAUGCAUUAGAUAACCAAGUUCUUUAUUGUGGCAUCAAGGCUUCCAAUAUUUUUGUAGAAGCGGUAAGAUUUCUACUAUUCAAUAAGACAGAGGUGAGGCUUGAACUCCGUCCGGCUAGCUCAGCAGCACAUUAGCUAACCAGUAAUACAUGGAGUCUUUCUCACUAUUCAACAUGACUCAUUUCUGCUAUCUGUUCAUCAACGUCAAGUGCUCACAACAUAUGCAUUUCUUGAACCUCAACAUACAUUAAGAAUAUACUUUCGAUGACUUAUCAGCAACUGGCACUCAGUGCUCUUAAAGAUAGGCCGAUGAGAAAUAAUGCGGCACACAUUGUUUCAAAUUACUUUAGACUUAAUUAUCUUACUAUACUAUCUCGUUUUUAAUAUGCCAGCGAGAAAAAGAUUUGCCAUUUUUAGACAGGUUACGAAAAUCAUAAAAAAUGUUUUUGAAAUUAUAAAAUCAGAAGCAUCUAGAUUACUCACAAGAAUAUCUUUGUAGCUCAUGAGUUAUUUUGCAAUGGAUGAAAAUUAAAAAUGAAAUAUGUCAUUAGUUUGCUUCUCCUAAAGUAAGAGGUUAUGUCCAAGUUUGGACUUUGUGGCCAUAUAUACAACCUGCAAUUCGCAACUCAUUUUCAUGGUACAAACUUUGGAAGGGAAUAGAGAGCCCAAGUGCAAACUGGACACGUGGCUCCUCUUACACAUGGAGGCAUUGACGACUGACAGGCUGACGGUUAGAGGAAGCGAUUACGAUUUAAGACUAGGCCUUGACGUCUUACUGUCUUAGCAACACAGAGUUUCUGCCUAUACGGUAAAAAAGUAUAUUCUAGAAGUAAUGUCUUUACAAUAGGUUUUCAUUACCAUGUUUGUGCAGUAUAUACCUUAGCAUGCCAUUAUACUUUUACUUCAGAUUCUAUAUGGUUGGACCGAACCAACUUCUCAUGUUGUAUUCUUCUUUCGUUGCAGUAACUCAGGUAGUGAUUUUCUUUUUAAAUUAACCCAUGACCAUGGGGUGUUGUCCCAGAAAAAGAGUGACGGUAUCUUUCUUGCUUUUACUAGGGAUUAACCUCAAAUGUUGUAUGUUUAGGACAAAAUAAAGGAUCAAAUUGCAAGAUUUUAUGUGUUUAGUUGUGGUGCAUGUUGAUGUUACUGCUCCAUUAAGCUAAUUGCCAGAGGGGUAGUGUUAAAUAAAACCGCUUCACGAUGGCUACUUCAGGUAAUUUGUUAGCGCCUUAUACCUAUUAUUGUAUAGCAAUCAGUUUUGUUUUCAUCCAAAGUAGUGUAUCAAAUUGUUAUUUUGUUUUAUCCAGAGGGGAGCAUAUAUAUACCAACAAGUUGAUAUUUAGCGGAUUUUUGUCUUCCUUGUAUUGUAAUUUGAAAUGAAGAAUUCUAAAGUUUUGUGCCUUAUUGUUCCCGCGUUAUGGUUUGGGAUGAACAAUCCUCAUGUUCUUAAGAUUUUUAGACUAAUUUUUCUUCACUUGAUAUUGUAUAUGCUCUUCAUGGGAUUAAGAGUACUUUGUUAAGAUCUUUUUGGCGGAUGGUUCUUCAUA